rnacentral:lncRNA from 1 species
UGGCACCAGUGCAGCUCAACAGUGGGAGCACUAGUGGAGACAGGCUGCCAACAUUUUAACUACUGUGUCAACAGCAUUCCGUGGGAUCCGUGUCCACAACUGGCGUAUGUAGUGGCUGGAAGUUUCCUGAUAAAUGGCGGAGAUGGGAAAGCUGUAAUGUACCCAACCUGGACCAUGGCUGGAUUUUCAUUUUCUUAUCACCUCUGCUUUAUAGAUGCCGCCAUCGCCAUUUGGUUCUGGUUAUAAACUGUUCAUGGCAGAGUGGAGCUUCUGAUGUCCCUCAUGCAUCUAUUUUUAGUGAAGUACAUCUCAGGGGCAGACCAAAUGAGGCUGUUUGUGUUUCUGUUUACUGUAUUUGCAAGCAAUGCUUUCUCUUUAUCUUAACAGAAGAUAAGUUUAAAUGUUUGUCCCAGUCUUUAGUCACCAUAGCAAAGGAAGAGAAAACAUAUGUACAGGAAACACAGAAAGCAAUAGCAGAGAUAAAAAGAGUAAAUUAACAUUACCCUCAUUGUAGGAAACUCAUUAGAGGACAGAGAAACUUGUGUUCCUACUAACCUGGAUCUUCCGUGAUUUCUCAGUUCUCAGACUUCAAGCCAAGUCUUUCUCUAACCUGCACCUCACUGGAGCCCUAUGGAAAAAUAGGGACAUACAACUUGAUAGUUUCUUGUUAACUUCAUUUCUGAACUGAAGGCAAAACCCGAACUAUUCUGGCUGACCUCUAGCCAAUGUAUCCAUUUCAUCAACUCAGCCCCGCAUUCAACCUCCUCAUUCACACAGGCAAGACUCUGGGGACUUAUAUCAGCAUCUCCUGCCAUCAACUCCAGAAUGUCUUGGGGACCAGCGUUCGAACAGAAAGGGCCAGUUAAAAAGCCAUGUUUUAGAUGACAUUCCAACAUCUCCUUGGGAGCCAAUGUGUGAAGAGAAGACUGUCAGGUCUGUCAAACCAUUCUUGCCUUUACUUGUUAAAGAGGAUUUAAUGAGGAGGUUUUUACUGAUCUAUUGUGAAGGUUGCUGGAGGCUGGACGCUUUACUCCAAAAGGUAAAGGCAGCAACAUUCCAUCAGGAAAGCAGCACAUAUUAAAAGGAGACAAAUAAACUAAAACAAGUCCAUUGGGCUUAAUAGCA